GACGAACGCUGGCGGCGUGCUCAACACAUGCAAGUCGAACGAUGAAGCCGGAGCUUGCUCCGGUGGAUUAGUGGCGAACGGGUGAGUAACACGUGAGUAACCUGCCCUUGACUCUGGGAUAACUGCGGGAAACUGUAGCUAAUACCGGAUACGACCCUCGGCGGCAUCGCCAGGGGGUGGAAAGAAUUUCGGUCAAGGAUGGACUCGCGGCCUAUCAGCUAGUUGGUGAGGUAACGGCUCACCAAGGCGACGACGGGUAGCCGGCCUGAGAGGGUGACCGGCCACACUGGGACUGAGACACGGCCCAGACUCCUACGGGAGGCAGCAGUGGGGAAUAUUGCACAAUGGGCGCAAGCCUGAUGCAGCAACGCCGCGUGAGGGAUGACGGCCUUCGGGUUGUAAACCUCUUUUAGUAGGGAAGAAGCGAGAGUGACGGUACCUGCAGAAAAAGCACCGGCUAACUACGUGCCAGCCGCCGCGGUAA
rnacentral:rRNA from 1 species